rnacentral:lncRNA from 1 species
AAUCUAUGGGGCAGGUGGUCUCUAUGGGGCAGGAGGCCUCUAUGGGGCCAAAAUCUAUGGGGCAGGAGGCCUCUAUGGGGCAGAAUCUGACCCUAUGGGGCAGGAGACCGAAAUCUAUGGGUCUGAAGGCCUCUAUGGAGCCAAAAUCUAUGGGGCAGGAGACCAAAAUCUAUGGGUCCGAAAGUCUCUAUGGGGCCAAAAUCUAUGGGGCAGGAGACCGAAAUCUAUGGGGCCAAAAUCUAUGGGGCAGGAGGUCUCUAUGGGGCAGAAUCUGACCCCAUUUCUCCCCCCUCUCUCCCCACAGCCCGCCCUACAAGCAGCCCCCAGCUGUACCCGCUGUCCGCCUGUUGUUCCGACUCCUCUCUCCCCGCCGCCGUGGGUUGCCUGGUUUCUCCUUCCUCCUCCUCUUCCUCCGUCAGCUGGGAGGGGGUCGGGGGUUCCGACAUGGCCGCCAUCGUUUCGGGCUCCCCAAAAAGGCUCAGCUUCGUCCGACUGACGGCCGGGGAAAAGAGGAAGAGCUUCGUCUGUAGCGUCAAAGACCAGCGGAGCGGCGGGGUGAUCAGGAAGGAAGUGCAGGUCUGCCGCGUGCCACCUACAUCACGUUCAGCCCCAGAGGUGCAGGUCCUCCACGCCUCUUCCUGCCCCCCAAGUUGGGAUCUAUGGGGCUGGAGGACCUCCAAUGGGGCUGGAGGACCCCCAAGUUGGGAUCUAUGGGUCUGGAGGACCUCCAACAACCUUGGAGGACUUCCAAUCAGUAUCUAUGGGUCUGGAGGACCUCCAACAACCCUGGAGGACCCUGAUUGGGAAUCUAUGGGUCUGGAGGACCUCCAAUGGGGCUGGAGGACCUCCAACAACCCUGGAGGACCUCCAAUCAGUAUCCAUGGGGCUGGAGGACCCCGAUUGGGAAUCUAUGGGCCUGGAGGACCUCCAAUCAGUAUCUAUGGGUCUGGAGGACCCUGAUUGGGAAUUCCUGGGUCUGGAGGACCUCCAACAACCUUGGAGGACCUCCGAUCAGUAUCCAUGGGUCUGGAGGACCUCCAACAACCUUGGAGGACCUCCAAUCAGUAUCCAUGGGCCUGGAGGACCCCGACUGGGAAUCUAUGGGGCUGGAGGACCUCCAAUGGGGCUGGAGGACCUCCAACAACCCUGGAGGACUUCCAAUCAGUAUCUAUGGGCCUGGAGGACCUCCAACAACCCUGGAGGACCCCGAUUGGGAAUCUAUGGGUCUGGAGGACCUCCAAUCAGUAUCUAUGGGUCUGGAGGACCUCCAACAGCCCUGGAGGACCCCCAAAAGCCCUGGAGGACCCCGAUUGGGAAUCUAUGGGGCUGGAGGACCUCCAAUCAGUAUCUAUGGGUCUGGUGGACCCCGAUUGGGAAUCUAUGGGUCUGGAGGACUUUCAAUGGUUCUGGAGGACCUCCAAUCAGUAUCUAUGGGCCUGGAGGACC